UACAGAGGUGCCAAGCGUUUAGGCGGAAUCACUGGGCUUAAAGCGCGUGUAGGCGGGUCGUUAAGUACCUUGUGAAAUCCCACGGCUCAACCGUGGAACGGCUGGGUAUACUGGCGAUCUUGAGAGACCUAGGGCUGUCGGAACAAGUGGUGGAGCGGUGAAAUGCGUAGAUAUCACUUGGAACGCCAAAGGUGAAACAGACAGCUGGGGGUCUUCUGACGCUGAGACGCGAAAGCCAGGGGAGCAAACGGG
rnacentral:rRNA from 1 species